GGCCUCCCAAAGGACUUUCUUAAUAACGUUUCUUUAGCACUAGUUGCAGACUUCUAUAGUAGUGCUAUGCCCUUCAAAUGGGUUGUUUUGCCGAUGUUCUUGGGAUAUGUAAGUGUAACCAGUAUGGCCCCCUGCACUAGUGUGGGGUAUAAAUAUAACAAUCCCCCUUUUACAUUCCAGUGGAUUAUUCUAGCUCCAUAUAUUUAUGUUAGCAGGAAAUCCAGCACCAAGCUUUUAUGAACUCCAUCAUCCUAAAUGGUCCAAGAUCCUGAGAAGCUUACUUGGCCUUAUUUGCAUGGUUGCUCUUGACAAAUGCCAGGCCAUGUUGCCCACCAACUAGACUUGGUUUUCAACUGCUGUGGCUUCUAUUGCUGUGACACAGUGUUGCACCUAAAGACCGGUUGCCUCUCUGGUUCUGAUCGCCACACAGAUCUCCAAGAAUCACAAAAAGAAUCUGAGAUUUGUAGGCCGAUAGAUGUUGUCUUAGUUCAUUUAUGCUGCUAUAACUGCAUGCCACAGACUGGGAAUUUAGAUGAACUGAAGUUUAUUGGCUCACAGUUCUGGAGGCUAAGAAGUACAAGAUUGAGGGACUGGCACUUAGAGAGGGACUUCUGCUGCAUCAUAACAUGGCCAAAGGGAAAGCAUGAACGCAGUCUCCCACUGCCACACAUUAUGCAAUUGAGUUUCCUACAUUUGAGGAAAUUGCAGUGGUCAGCACAUUUGGAGUGCAAUGGAUGAGCCUUGCCCUGGGAAAACCAUCUUUGUGAUCAUGGAUCAUGGUAUCUCCCCUCCCAGGAAAAUACAUCAUAUCUUGCACUUGGGUGGAAAAGAGCAGAAAUCCUUGGUUAACAGGAUUAUACGCAAUGGUGCAGAAAGCAUUCUCUAAAGAAAAAUCAGAGAGGAAGAAACACUGCAUGGAGAAUCCAAGAAACACUCUAAGAAUUGAAGUUAAAAUGUCGGAGGAGGCCUCGUAUGUCUUCUUCUAGGAGGACUCUCAGCUGAUGUUGGUUUUUUUAGUCUGUAUGAGCGAUGGACAAGCUGUCACUACCCAUUAGAUUUUGGGUGGUCCCAGGGGACCAUCCCAAGUUUGAGGAAAGUUGGCAAUGGAAAAAGGAGCAUCUGAUAGGAGCAGUCAGUGAAGUCCUUGGUUCUUACAGAGGCAGAGAGCAUGCUGUUCAGGCGCAGAUGCUGGCGUUGGACACACCCAGAUGUCAGUGUGAAAAGAAAAUAAAAUUCCGGGACCCCAAACUCAAUACACCAAAGGGAAAAGGAAAGCUUGGAAGCUGAGUCACACAAAAAAUCGGUCUUUUGUUUCUAAAUAGACAGCUACAAGAUAAAAGGACACAUGUCUCUCCAGGUGGCCUCCCUCACCUUGACAGUGUGAAUUAACAGCUUAUCUUCAUGGACAUGGGACAAGAGGAGACUGGAAAUCAUCUCCCACACCACCCUCUCCAAGACAAAUUCAUAUUUAACUUCUACUUCUGCUCUGUUGACUUUAUCCUAUGUAAAGUACAGAUUUACUGAGCACGAGA